rnacentral:rRNA from 1 species
UCGGAUUGUAGUCUGCAACCCGACUACAUGAAGCUGGAAUCGCUAGUAAUCGCGAAUCAGAAUGUCGCGGUGAAUACGUUCCCGGGUCUUGUACACACCGCCCGUCACACCAUGGGAGUCGGAAAUGCCCGAAGUCAGUGACCCAACCGCAAGGAGGGAGCUGCCGAAGGUGGAGCCGGUAACUGGGGUGAAGUCGUAACAAGGUAGC